rnacentral:rRNA from 1 species
CCUACGGGAGGCAGCAGUUGGGAAUCUUGGGCAAUGGGCGCAAGCCUGACCCAGCGACGCCGCGUGGGGGAUGAAGGCCUUCGGGUCGUAAACCCCUGUCAGGAGGGAAGAAGCCCGCAAGGGUGACGGUACCUCCAGAGGAAGCCCCGGCUAACUACGUGCCAGCAGCCGCGGUAAGACGUUGGGGGCAAGCGUUGUCCGGAUUCACUGGGCGUAAAGCGCGUGCAGGCGGCCUGUUAAGUCCCGUGUGAAAGCCUCCGGCUCAACCGGAGGAGGUCGCGGGAUACUGGCGGGCUUGAGGGCGGCAGAGGGUGGUGGAAUUCCCGGUGUAGCGGUGAAAUGCGUAGAUAUCGGGAGGAACGCCAGUGGCGAAGGCGGCCCCCUGGGCCGUCCCUGACGCUGAGACGCGAAAGCUGGGGGAGCGAACGGGAUUAGAUCCCCCUGUAGU